AGAGUUUGAUCCUGGCUCAGAUUGAACGCUGGCGGCAGGCCUAACACAUGCAAGUCGAGCGGUAACAUUUCUAGCUUGCUAGAAGAUGACGAGCGGCGGACGGGUGAGUAAUGCUUGGGAACAUGCCUUGAGGUGGGGGACAACCAUUGGAAACGAUGGCUAAUACCGCAUAAUGUCUACGGACCAAAGGGGGCUUCGGCUCUCGCCUUUAGAUUGGCCCAAGUGGGAUUAGCUAGUUGGUGAGGUAAAGGCUCACCAAGGCGACGAUCCCUAGCUGGUUUGAGAGGAUGAUCAGCCACACUGGAACUGAGACACGGUCCAGACUCCUACGGGAGGCAGCAGUGGGGAAUAUUGCACAAUGGGCGCAAGCCUGAUGCAGCCAUGCCGCGUGUGUGAAGAAGGCCUUCGGGUUGUAAAGCACUUUCAGUCAGGAGGAAAGGUUAGUAGUUAAUACCUGCUAGCUGUGACGUUACUGACAGAAGAAGCACCGGCUAACUCCGUGCCAGCAGCCGCGGUAAUAC
rnacentral:rRNA from 3 species